UUCCCCUCAGGCAGAGUUUGGGCGGGAGCCCCCCGACCCCCGCCCUCCCCGCCUUGCCCUCCCUUCGCCGCCAUUUCCUCAAGCGCUCCGUCGCGUCUAGCUGAGGCGCCCCGGGCGAGAGGCUCAACGCCUCAGGCUGCCUGUGGGGACCCCCAUCCCCCGCCCCCUGGAGGCCCUUCCCGGCCUCCCUCGGCUUUCUUGAGCGAUGCUGGUGCUCUAUCUGAGGAAGACGGUGUCCUAAGAUGGCGGGAGGGGGCCUUGCUUUAAGCAGGGGGAGUGGGAGGCCUUCCCUCUCGGGCGCCUCUAUUGGCAGCUGCCCUCCGCUGGGCCUGCCCACUUUGGGCCCCCUUCCAUUUGCUGAGGAGGUUCUGGUGGUGCCAGCUUCGUGGAAAGGAGCUCCUUCCCUGCGCUUCUUUAGCGCCACCCGCAGGAGGCCUCCCUCUCUCUCUCUCUCUCCUAGUCUUUGCUUGGCAGAAGGCCACUGCCUCCAGGGCCAGCGGGGGGGGGGGCUGGGGCAGGCGUGCCCCUUUGGCUUGGCCUCCUUGCCCCUACUGGCUGCCUCCAGCCUCCCCUGGCCUGCCUACUUUUCCUUCCCUCCCCCCUUUUGCCAUUCUUGCACAGCCACCAUGUCAUUUUCUUCAUAUGCGCCGUUGCCUUCUGUGAAGACAGCGGCUUCAUAAAAGUGGGAGAGGGUUUGACUUGCCAGCCCUGACUCCUGGCAGCCUCCAUCCCUCUCCUCUCCGGCCCAGUUUCUUUUUGACCCCUCCUCUCUCCCCCCAAGUUUUCCCCACACUGCCACCUUUUUUCUUCACAGGUGCUGCUGCAAUGCCAGUGGACGACAACUUCAUAAAAUGACUGCAGGGUGCUCCUUUGAAAAAUGGGGGUGGAAUUCUUGCUUGUCAGCCCCAUCUGCUGGUCACUUCUGUCCCCCCCCCCCCCCCUGCCCUCCUUCUCUUUCACACCUUCCUUUCUUCUCUAUUCCUUGCCAUCAUUUUUUGAGAGGCAGAAAAUAGCUUCAUCAAAUGGUGGCAAGGUACCCUUUUCAUAAAACGUGGGGAUGGCAUUCUUAUUAUGUGCCAACUCAGUUGACCGAUACAUUUCCUGUCUUCGCUGUGUCUUUCCCUCCAAAUCCCAGGUUUGGCUCCCUCUACCACUGUUUUCUUCAGAGGUACUUUCCACUAUUUGAAGAAGACAGUUUCAUAAAAGAGCAGCAGGGUGUGCUUUUUAAAAAGCAGACAACUGUGGCAGAGGCAAGUGGAACUACUGGGGAAUGGGACAGGGAAAGAAAGCACGAGAGAACACUAGGUUUGGUAGAACGUACAAGAGGAAGGGAGGCUAGCAGAAGACAGAACUCAUGAGAAAGAAACCCACUCCUGUCUGCAGACAGCACCCACAUCCUGAGGCUGCUCAUAGCUGGGGCUAACACAAAACUGUCCCAUCCCCCAGUAGUUCCACUUGCCUCUGUGAUAGGUAUCUGCAGAGAUGAUGGCCGGUCCAAAGAAACCAGCUUAAGUUAACAGCAGGGGACUUUUAAAACCCCCAAUAGGACUGAUGUUGUUUCUUGUCGUUUCCACCUACUUGCAGGCUAUCUUCCACCUACUUAGGAGAUCACAGAAUGUAUUUCUUCGCCGAAUACUGUUUUGCGUAAAAGGUUGCGAUGUUGGCAUAUUUUCUCAUUGCGCGUUUUAAAAGAAAAAUUAAGGAACGCCAUAUUUCCAAGUGCAUGUAGCAUCUGCAUACACUGUACAACUUAUCCCAUUCCGCAGCAUUCUCGUAUUUGAAGAAAUAACACGUUGGUAAUAUUCGUAUUGUAUUUUAAUGAGAUUGAAAUAUUGCAAUUCUGGUUGCCUCACCCUUCAUCUGAAGAAACAAGUUUUAGAGCAUUAAGAAAGACUUACUAGCCUCUACACUGUAUAUGUUUAUUGAAUAUUGCCUGCUUGCCAUGAGAUCUGGAUCAUCAUCACUGCGUCACUUGUGCAAACUCAAAAGGAUCACACAGUUUUGGAAACCUACUGUAACUCCAUUCAACAAUGUAAGUGCUUAGACAAGAUGUUGGCUUCUUGGAGAAGAGGAGACAGAGCUGAUGCCUGCUCAUUUCUGAGACACUUGAGGAGCCUUCACUUUAGUCACUGGCAGAAGAAGGUUGCUGUUUAGUUAUUGUUAGUCUUAUGCUUCAAUUUCCUCUAGUGAAACAAGGCAAUUUUGAUCCAUAGAAAUGGGUCAGUUUCCUUAUCAGCAAGUACAUAUCAAAUAUUUCCAAAGGAGGACAGCAAGAAGAGAUGUAGACUUUGAGGUAGGGAUCUUGUGGCAAGUUUUAUUCAAGUGGUUUAUUUAAAACUUUAGGUAUUUUAACAGUAUAUAGUGUACUUUACAACUGGAUGGAGACUAAAACUUUUCCAGGAAAUGUGUGUAGGAUCAACACCCAGUCUGGAAAAGUGAAAAAUAUUCAUUCUAUAACUGUUUGAAAGAUGGAAAAACUUAAAAUGUCAUAUAUUUGGAAACUUUUACAAUGCAAUUUGAUCAAAAUUAGUACUGAUACUGUCUGAUAAUCAGUUGAAAAAAGCCUACAUAGAAGAAUGAAAGGGUAAAACAAUGUUAAACUGUUUUUUUUAACCCAGCUGUAUUAUACUGAUGGUACAGGAUUUUGGAGGGUGUUGCUUUCCAGUUAAGUAAGAACGGUAUUCUUCCACUGUUGGUGUCCUUCAACUGUCCAGCAUAUUCUGUCUCAGACUCUUUCCAUGUAUGUUCCUUCCCUGUUCUUCUACUUUGUGAAAAGAUACUUAUGUGUUAACUAGAGAAAAAUGGUGGUUGGGACCUUUUUUUCCAAGUGGGAGUGGUAUUCUUCCUUGUGAGACCUGCCAUUGACUUUGUCCCUCCUCUGUCCUGCCCAUCUUUGUUUUACUCCUCCCUCAUGUGUUCCCUCCCUGCUGCCAUUUUGUGAAAAUGCUUGUGCCUUAACUGUAGGAAACAUAACAUGACAGCAGUGUGCUUUUUUUUUAAUGCAAUUGGUCUUCUUCCUUGCACUUGCUUCUUCCAGUCCUGACCAUUUCCCUCCCCUCCUCCUGUCUGCUCACUCUCCUGUGGUUAUCUCCUGUCAGCAUUUUCUGUAGUGGCUCCUUAUCUGAAGAAAACAACUAUAUAUUUUGAUUGCAUUGUUCUUUUUCAAAAAAGGUCAGAGAGCCUCAUGAACUAUCUCUAGAGGCAGGCUUACUUAUCCCUACCUGCUUUGAAGGAGAUGCUGGAGUGUAUUUGUUUACUAAAUGUUACAUUCUGCAUAAAAACUCAACAUGUUGAAAUGUUUCCUUGUUAAGCCUUUGAAAUAACAUCAUUGAACAAGCAUUGUAGCAUU